UACGAGGGGGGCAAGCGUUGUUCGGAUUUAUUGGGCGUAAAGGGUGCGUAGGCGGUUUGGCAAGUCUUGUGUGAAAUCUUUGGGCUCAACCCAAAGUCUGCAUAAGAAACUGCCGGGCUUGAGUAUGGGAGAGGUGAGUGGAAUUCCUGGUGUAGCGGUGAAAUGCGUAGAUAUCAGGAGGAACACCUGUGGCGAAAGCGGCUCACUGGACCAUAACUGACGCUGAUGCACGAAAGCUAGGGGAGCAAACAGG
rnacentral:rRNA from 1 species